AUUGAACGCUGGCGGCAUGCCUUACACAUGCAAGUCGAACGGUAACAGGUCUUCGGAUGCUGACGAGUGGCGAACGGGUGAGUAAUACAUCGGAACGUGCCCGAUCGUGGGGGAUAACGAAGCGAAAGCUUUGCUAAUACCGCAUAAGAUCUAAGGAUGAAAGCAGGGGACCGCAAGGCCUUGCGCGAACGGAGCGGCCGAUGGCAGAUUAGGUAGUUGGUGGGAUAAAAGCUUACCAAGCCGACGAUCUGUAGCUGGUCUGAGAGGACGACCAGCCACACUGGACUGAGACACGGCCCAGACUCCUACGGGAGGCAGCAGUGGGGAAUUUUGGACAAUGGGCGCAAGCCUGAUCCAGCCAUGCCGCGUGCAGGAUGAAGGCCUUCGGGUUGUAAACUGCUUUUGUACGGAACGAAAAGAUUCUGGUUAAUACCUGGGGUCCAUGACGGUACCGUAAGAAUAAGCACCGGCUAACUACGUGCCAGCCGCCGCGGUAAGAC
rnacentral:rRNA from 1 species